ACGAUUAAAAAGUCGGGGCCACACUUCAGUCACAACUUGCUCAUUCCCUCCUCUUCAAUGUUGCUCAAUCUUCAGCCCUAAAGUUGAGAGCUCCAAGGCAGAUUGGGAGCUCAUCGUCUUCAAAUUUUGGUGCCUCUCUCUCGCUCUCUCUCUGUAAUUGAUCUCCGUAAUCAACCUGUAAGAGCUCCAAUUCGAACUUUCAAUUUCUUAUCGUAAUCGAUCUCCGUAAUCAACCUGUAUCCUGAUACGAAAGAGGAGGCAAUUGCUGAGGCUUGCCCUGUUUGUUGUGGAAACUGCAAUUGCAAAGCAUGCUUACGUUUAGAUGGAUCUCUUAAAGUCAGUCAGUUUUCUUUGCUCCAGACAUUUCACGAUCUGUUCUAUCAGUGCCUAUUCUAGAUCAUAAUGUAAUUUAAAAUUGAAGAUCAACGAAGAUGAAAAGGUUCACCACUCCAUGUAUUUGCUACAUGCACUUAUUCCAUUUCUGAAACAUUUCAAUCAAGAGCAAUUGAUGGAGAAGGAAACAGAGGCCAAGAUUCAAGGGUAAUCAUUAGCAGCAUUAGAGCUACAAAAGGCAGCUUGUGAAAAGGAUGAGCGUGUUUAUUGCAACUACUGUAAAACUUAUGUUGUUGAUUUCCACAGAAGCUGUCCAAACUGUUUUUAUGACCUUUGCCUUACUUGUUGCCGGGAGGUCCGUGAUGGUCACUUGCAGGGAGGUGGGAAGGAAGUAAUCUUAUUGUACAAUAUUUUCUUAUUUGGAAGAGGCUUCUUCAUUCUCUUGCACUGGUUUUUGGUUGUAUAAUUGCAUCAUCUUUGGGAUGUCCAAAUGGUGUCACACCUAAGUACAACUUGAAGCCUCUUGUGCCAAUGCUGUUUGAUAUAAAACAUGACAUUGAUGUUGAGAAAAUGUUUUUUUAGAUAUUCUCUUUGAAGAAACUGUUGCUAUUUUCAUUUGAACGGUUACUACUUUGAUUUGAAUUUGGAAACUUUCAGUUUUAAUUUUUGUAAAAUUUUACUUUUUAUAUACUCAUUGUGGUUUGGGAAUAAAAUGUUUUUGAUGUGUGGAUGUCAA